rnacentral:tRNA from 1 species
GCGGGAUGGAGCAGCUCGGUAGCUCGUCGGGCUCAUAACCCGAAGGUCGUAGGUUCAAAUCCUUUCGCCGCU